UGCUGAGACCUCUGUUGUUUGUCAAUAUGUUAAUGAUUUGGAUGAUACAUGAUUAGUAACUUGGCAGAUGGCCUCAAAAUUAGUGGUUUGGUGAACAGUGAAAAAUGUUGUCUGAAAUUACAACAUAUGGUUCAAAUGGGAAAAGUGGGCAGAUGGAAUUUCACACAGACAAAUGUGAAGAGAUGCAUGCUGAGAAGUACAUUUAAAUAGAAGAAAUAUAACAUGGUGUCAGAAGUGCUUCUGGAAGAAUAAUACGGGAGAAUCGAGAAUUGAAGAUAAUUGGAAAAAAAAACAAGAAAAAAGAUUGCACUGCAAACGGUAAUAUGGAAGGUUUACUACCUCCACCAAAACUUCAGCUGACUGGCAAUGUAGCUGAGAAUUGGAGGAUCUUCAAGCAACAGUUUGAACUGUACCUGUCGGCAAGCAAUUAUGAAGAGAAAUCAGAUAAAACCAAAGCUGUGCUUCUGCUCCAUAUAAUCGGGAGUGAAGCGGUAGAGGAAAGGAAGAUGUGGCGAUAUCACGUGCAAUGAUGUGCUGGGACAUGAUUGGACAGAGCACUGAGCAUGAGUGGGAUUGCCGGAAUGUUCCAGCACAUGGCUGGAUUAAGAAGUGUUUGUUUAUUACUGUAAAUGAAAUUUCUCUAAUUCUUCCAGAAUAUGAUUCUUUACUGUUAACCCAUGGUACGUUUAAAUAGAAGAAAUAUAACAGAGGGUGGGACAGUCUAUUAACCCUAAACUCGAUGAUAAAAACUGCCGGUGCAACACAACCUAUGAGUAAAAGAGAGUGUUCCUCUUGCAGUGAGCCUGCAGACAGAACGCCCUCAUCACCUCAGGAACUACUGAGAAAGAUGCAUUUCCUGCAAAUCACUGAGACCAAAAUGAUCUACCUAACAAGGUGCUUAUUCAAUGUGAAAUGUGCUAAUCAGUUCCACAUGUUAUAAGCAAUACACACUAAAUGCUGGAGGAACUCAGCAGGCCAGGCAGCAUCUGUGGAAAAGAGUACAGUCGACGUUUUGAGCCAAGAUCCUUCAGCAGGACCUGAAGUUAUAGUUUGCAUUUAUGUUGCUCAGCUCUUACCAUACUA